AGUGAACGCUGGCGGUAGGCCUAACACAUGCAAGUCGAACGGCAGCACAGAGGAGCUUGCUCCUUUGGUGGCGAGUGGCGGACGGGUGAGGAAUACAUCGGAAUCUACUCUGUCGUGGGGGAUAACGUAGGGAAACUUACGCUAAUACCGCAUACGAGCUACGGGUGAAAGCAGGGGACCUUCGGGCCUUUCGCGAUUGAAUGAGCCGAUGUCGGAUUAGCUAGUUGGCGGGGUAAAGGCCCACCAAGGCGACGAUCCGUAGCUGGUCUGAGAGGAUGAUCAGCCACACUGGAACUGAGACACGGUCCAGACUCCUACGGGAGGCAGCAGUGGGGAAUAUUGGACAAUGGGCGCAAGCCUGAUCCAGCCAUACCGCGUGGGUGAAGAAGGCCUUCGGGUUGUAAAGCCCUUUUGUUGGGAAAGAAAUCCAGCUGGCUAAUACCCGGUUGGGAUGACGGUACCCAAAGAAUAAGCACCGGCUAACUUCGUGCCAGCCGCCGCUGUAA
rnacentral:rRNA from 1 species